CCUACGGGGUGCAGCAGUGGGGAAUAUUGCACAAUGGGCGCAAGCCUGAUGCAGCCAUGCCGCGUGUAUGAAGAAGGCCUUCGGGUUGUAAAGUACUUUCAGCAGGGAGGAAGGCGAUAAGGUUAAUAACCUUGUCGAUUGACGUUACCCGCAGAAGAAGCACCGGCUAACUCCGUGCCAGCAGCCGCGGUAAUACGGAGGGUGCAAGCGUUAAUCGGAAUUACUGGGCGUAAAGCGCACGCAGGCGGUCUGUCAAGUCGGAUGUGAAAUCCCCGGGCUCAACCUGGGAACUGCAUUCGAAACUGGCGGGCUAGAGUCUUGUAGAGGGGGGUAGAAUUCCAGGUGUAGCGGUGAAAUGCGUAGAGAUCUGGAGGAAUACCGGUGGCGAAGGCGGCCCCCUGGACUAAGACUGACGCUCAGGUGCGAAAGCGUGGGGAGCAAACAGGAUUAGAUACCCCCGUA
rnacentral:rRNA from 1 species